rnacentral:lncRNA from 1 species
UAGCUCCUGGCGCCUCAGAUCAGAUUAAUCUGCUCGUCAUUAAUGAUGUCAGAAAAGCAAGCAAUGUCAUCAUCGGCGCCAUGACCCAAGAUCAAUUAAAAGAGACCAAGUAAAAGUAGACGGACGGAUCGAAGUGGGUAAAAAAGAAGGAAGGAUAUCUGUGUGGUACGUAACAGAAGGCAGAGAUGAACGUACAGCAGCGUUCCAGAAACCAACCAAAGCCAAAGUAAAGCAAAUCGUCGUGCAUGGGAUUA